AUACGGAGGAUGCGAGCGUUAUCCGGAUUUAUUGGGUUUAAAGGGUGCGUAGGCUGUGCGUUAAGUCAGGGGUGAAAUGCCGUCGCUCAACGACGGAGCUGCCCUUGAUACUGGCGUGCUGGAGUACGGAUGCCGUUGGAGGAAUGAGUGGUGUAGCGGUGAAAUGCUUAGAUAUCACACAGAACACCGAUUGCGAAGGCAUCUGACGAAUCCGUCACUGACGCUGAGGCACGAAAGCGUGGGGAUAGAACAGGAUUAGAUACCCUGGUAUUCCACGCCGUAAACGAUGAUGACUAACCGUCGGCGAUAGACAGCCGGUGGCCAAGCGAAAGCGAUAAGUCAUCCACCUGGGGAGUACGUCGGCAACGAUGAAACUCAAAGGAAUUGACGGGG
rnacentral:rRNA from 1 species